GGCUCAGGAUGAACGCUAGCGGCAGGCUUAACACAUGCAAGUCGAGGGGCAUCGGGAGUAGCAAUACUUGCCGGCGACCGGCGCAAGGGUGCGUAACGCGUGAGCAACAUGCCCGUAUCAGGGGGAUAAUCCAUGGAAACGUGGUCUAAUACCCCAUAGUAAUUAUGUAAGGCAUCUUAUAUAAUUUAAAGCUUUGGUGGAUACGGAUUGGCUCGCGUGACAUUAGCUGGAUGGUAAGGUAACGGCUUACCAUGGCUACGAUGUCUAGGGGUUCUGAGAGGAAGGUCCCCCCACACUGGAACUGAGACACGGUCCAGACUCCUACGGGAGGCAGCAGUGAGGAAUAUUGGACAAUGGAUGGAAAUCUGAUCCAGCCAUGCCGCGUGCAGGAAAGACGGCCCUAUGGGUUGUAAACUGCUUUUGUAUGGGAGCAAUAAGGGCUACGUGUAGUCCGAUGAGAGUACCAUACGAAUAAGCACCGGCUAACUCCGUGCCAGCCGCAGC
rnacentral:rRNA from 1 species